AAAAAACAUGCCCCUGCGAGUGUGCAAGGCAAUAUACUGAAGCAGAACCACAUCCCAUACAUACCUGAGAUUGAAACAAACACAUUUCAGAUAAAAAUAACUGGGUUUUUAAAGAAACAAAAAUUCUCACUACAUUCAGGUUGACUAAUUGUCUUAAGAUGUUCUUUUAAAAUUAAAACAAUAAUUUAAUUUAGUUAAUUCUUUGUGUGUAUGUGUGCAUGUGUGUGUGACAAACAUGCCAUAAAACAUGUAUCAGAGAUCCAAGGACAACUUUCAGGAGACAGCUUUUAUCUUUAAUUUUGUUACUAAAAGAACUUUCUUGUUGUUUCUUCUUCUGCAGAAGCUAGACGGCUCAAUCCUAGAUGAUUCUUACAUCUCUGUCUCCACAGAAGGCCAGCAUUACAAUUGCCAUCAUAGGAUCCAGGUUUUUCUUCUUAAUUAUGGGUCCAGGUCAGAAACAUACCCAUUGCCAAGCUUGGCUACCAGCAUUGGCUCCUCUGGACCAUAGAUUCAGCUGACUCCCAAGGAAAUACUUCUCAGAAGAUUUCACUUCAAUGGAACUCUGCCUUAAACAAAGACAUCUGGCACCAUUUAUGAGUGCAAAUGCAGAGGCAGGAUGACUCUCAGCAAGCAAUUUUACAUGUGCUGACAUCAACACCUGUUCAUCGCCACAACGAGACACCAACUAUUCCUAAGAGGAAAAAGAUGUAACCUAUAUACCCACAAAGUGGAUUGGGAAUAUAUGGUCAUAUGGUAUAUUAAAACCAUAUCAUAGAAACUAUUGAGAAUUUACCUAACACAUCAUGACAACAAAGUGAACAGCACCCUACCUGAACCAUGUAAAAGGGAAAAAGCUGUAAUGAAGACAUCCCUAUGAACCUGUCAACUAUCUUGUGUGUGUACACUGGAAGACAGACAGACAUAGAAGUCCUGACUGUCCUUGAUGCUUCAGCUCAGCAUGCUACUUGAUGUCCUACAGCUUGAUGUCGCCCACUAAAGUUUCUAGUUUUUGACAGGUCCUAUGUCUCUUAGGCUCUACUCUACCCUGCAACCCAAUAACUUGGCUAUGUGGGUCUACAAAAUCUUCAACCAGAUUAAUAAAGGUCUACUGUAAACACCUUCAGUGACUCUUCAUAUAUGCAUCAGCUUUCUGCCUGCCUCUUCGAGGUCUCUGACAUUUGAGGCUUCUUCAAUCCUUUUAUAGCCAUUCUAUUUCAUGAUAUAUUGCAUAACAUUCUGUUUAUAACUGUGCCAAGUAUAAUAAGAUGUGAUCCAAGAGUUAACGUUAGUAAUUAUGGGUGGUUUUCUUGUGCCGUUCGUUUGGUUUUUGGUUUUUAAGAUAAGGUCUCACUCACUAUGUAACCCUAUCUGGACUGGAACUGUCUUUGUAGACCAGGUUGGCUUCAAGCUUUCACAGAUCUCCCUCCUUCGUCCUCAAGUGCUAGAAUUAAAGGUAUGCACCACCACACAGGACAAUAUUUUAAAUCAAAGUCACAGAAGCUGUGAUUACAAUGUCCAGCUGCCAAGAAAAAUCCAAAUUACUAGGUAAAUAGCAGGAGCAAAGCUAAUACAACUCGUGAAUGAACCGUUUUGCAACAAAUUCUGGCAUUGUGGAAAGACACAAGCACAUGUCUGUUCCUGGAAUACAGCUUUAAUGGCAGACGGAAAAAGGAACUUAGGAGAGUCUGAUACCAAACCUAGAUGUGAUUUUGUCUGGGUCUCUAAUUACUAAAGACAUAAACUCAUCUAAAACAACAAACAACAACAACAAACAACAACAACUCCACCAUGAUCACUAAAAGAAUGGUCAGUAAAUCAGAUGGGGUGACUGAGAAGUGGGAGGCUCUUCACCAUCCUUCACCAAAGAGUGAAAACCAAAGGGACCUACAUCUGCCAAAGGAGACCAUGGUAAUCUCUGGGCUCACAUCCUGUGCUUGCUGCAAUACCAGGACCUUUUGCACAUCUCCAAUUUCCUGACUUACCUCUUUCGAGGGACAGUUAUCCUAAAGGGUCUCAGUAGGAAGCUCUGAUUCCUCUUGAGGAAGAAGGAAAUGCAUUUUUAAAAAAUUCCCAGACAAUUAUUAUGUUGAAAUUGGGGUUUUGGUUUCUUCGCAAUCCUUCACAUGACCACAUCUGAAAAACUAAUUUCCAUUCUGCCCUGAAGGCAUUACACACCAAUCGUGGCAUUGUCAAACCUCAUAGCCAUUUUAAACAUGCCAGGCUAACGGUUCAAGCUGAAAGUAGAAAGGAUUUUCCAUUAAGCUGCCAAUAGUAACGUAAUACAAUGAAGGCAAUUGUCACUAGAUGAUUCAUCUAGUUAGAAUCUCAACUCCCUUUCUGGGUAGAAAAUAUGAAGCUUGCUUAUUUAUAUUAGACACCAAGCAAAUACUUACUCAUAAUUCAGCUAUUCUGUAUCCAAGCAAGGCAGAGACUCCAAGCAGGGAGGUAGAAAGGCAAAUGUUCACUUUGGCUAUCAGUAAACGUCAUAGCCUUUCUAAAUUUGUCACUUUUCCACACACACACACACACA
rnacentral:lncRNA from 1 species